GAUGAACGCUGGCGGCGUGCCUAAUACAUGCAAGUCGAGCGAACAGACGAGGAGCUUGCUCCUCUGACGUUAGCGGCGGACGGGUGAGUAACACGUGGAUAACCUACCUAUAAGACUGGGAUAACUUCGGGAAACCGGAGCUAAUACCGGAUAAUAUAUUGAACCGCAUGGUUCAAUAGUGAAAGACGGUUUUGCUGUCACUUAUAGAUGGAUCCGCGCCGCAUUAGCUAGUUGGUAAGGUAACGGCUUACCAAGGCAACGAUGCGUAGCUGACCUGAGAGGGUGAUCGGCCACACUGGAACUGAGACACGGUCCAGACUCCUACGGGAGGCAGCAGUAGGGAAUCUUCCGCAGUGGGCGAAAGCCUGACGGAGCAACGCCGCGUGAAUGAUGAAGGUCUUCGGAUCGUAAAACUCUGUUAUUAGGGAAGAACAAAUGUGUAAGUAACUAUGCACGUCUUGACGGUACCUAAUCAGAAAGCCACGGCUAACUACGUG
rnacentral:rRNA from 1 species